rnacentral:rRNA from 1 species
GACGUAGGGUGCAAGCGUUGUCCGGAUUUAUUGGGCGUAAAGAGCUCGUAGGCGGCUUGUUGCGUCGACUGUGAAAACCCGCGGCUUAACCGCGGGCUUGCAGUUGAUACGGGCAGGCUAGAGUUCGGUAGGGGAGACUGGAAUUCCUGGUGUAGCGGUGAAAUGCGCAGAUAUCAGGAGGAACACCGGUGGCGAAGGCGGGUCUCUGGGCCGAUACUGACGCUGAGGAGCGAAAGCGUGGGGAGCAAACAUG